GGUGGUGUGGUGUAAUGGUAGCACGUGACGUUGUGGUGUAUUCUCAUUGAAUAUCUACGCUUGUCCGUUUCAAUCUGGGUUCGAUUCCCAGCACCGCCA